GGUUGACCAAGGGUGUUGAUUAUGCUUCUACAUCAGGAGGUCUGGGGUUCGAAUCUCAGAUAUUGCGAUUUAUUGGUGGAAGUCCCACCCGGAGGUUCUGGUUUCAAUUCCCGGAGAACGUGUCUUAUCGGUCAAGUUUACAUGAGAUCUUCAGCAUGGUGCUGGUGAAACCACUAGAUAUGGAUCUUCAUAGAGAGAUGUAAUAUUUCUCAUAAUUUGUAAUAGAAUAAUAAAAUCAGUGUUAAAAAAAAAAGACUGAUUUGAGCAGGAAGUGAACCAAAUUGAAUGUGUGGUGUUGGUGUUUGAGUAGGUGCAGGAGACGAUUCCACUGUGACAGUAGAUCGCAAAGGAGAGAUUGUAUCUGAAACAACUGCAGGAUUUGUAGUUUUGGGCUGAAAACUUUGUUGCCAAGCAGUUGUCAAAAGCGUGGUAGUUGAUUCUUGCAGGUGAAGAUAGAUAUCUGAGAAAGGAAAGGAUUGCUCAUCAAAGACGACAUGCCUGCUUAUAUAAAAUCUACCUGUGGUAGGAAGAAGACACCUAUAGCCUUUAUAUUUAUCAUUAUACCCAAGAAACACACAUUUUAGAGAACUUGGAUCAAAUUUAUGCUGAGCAUAAUCUCUUAACAUAGGAUAGCAUGCACAUCCAAACACUCUCAAUGCUUGAUACUCUGGUGUCUGUCCAUGAAGCAAUUCAUAAGGACUUUUAGGACUAUCCAAUGAUGUAUGUGGAAGCAAAUUACUUAGGAAAUUUGUUGUGUAGAAUGCUUCAACCCAAUACUUCUAGGAGUUUUGCUCUGAAACAUCAUUGCUAAACCAAGCUCUGUGAUGUGUCUGUGUUUUCUCUCUUUUAAGCCAUUUUGCUGAGGAGUAUAGGGACAACAUAUAUAUUGUUGGAUCCCAUGUUGUUGGAGAUGAUUCAGAAACACAUUGCUUUUAAAUUCUCCUCCACCAUCACAACACACCAAUUUUACUUUGAAACUGAUUUUCAACCAAAGACUGAAAUUUUGCAAAGAUGGAAUAGAACUCUAAUUUCUGCUUUAAUGGAUAAAACCAACAGAAGUGAGAGUAAUUAUCAAUAAAUAUGACAUAAUAUCGAAAUCUUUGAACUGACAAAACAGGAGAAGGACCCCAGAGAUCACAGUGUAUUCUCUCCAAGGGUCUAGUUGCAACAAAAGAGGAAGCUGAAAAUGGUAGUCUACUGCUUUUACCAAGCUGACAAGCUUCACAAAAGGACUUGUUGUUAUUAUUAAUGACAAGCAACUUUGAAGAAGAUAACUGUUGGAGAACUUGUGGAUUUGGGUGGCCUAGUCGUCUGUGCCAAACAUCAGCAGAAGCAGUAGUUUGCCGAGAAGAAUAGAACACCUGAGGAGUUUGGUUCUCCAACACAUACAGUCCAUCAUGGCUGCUUCCCUGAAGAAGAAGCUGCUUUGUUGCCUUAUCAUGCACACACACCGUAUCACAGUCAAACGCAAAUACACAAGGAUAGUCUUUUGUAACCUUUGAGACUGAAAGCAAAGAUUUAGUAAUGUCAGGGCAAACCAAAACAUCUUUAAGAGGAAGAUUACCUGAUGAUGAUGCGAGAUUAGCAGAUCCUGUGUGUGUAAUAGGCAGAAAAUUUCCAUCACCAACCAUUACUGUGUCAGAACCAGUAUAAGACUUAGGUUGCUGGAGAUGGUAUGGAGAAUUGGUGACAUGAGCUGUUGCACCUGUGUCUGGAAUCCAUUCAUGACCUGAGCUCUCUGAAACAUCAGUUAUGCGAAGUACAGUCAAAGCAGAAGGAAGAGCUUCAUAUUGGUAGCUGUUGUCAAAUCGAUGACAACAUAACAAAGCAGGAUGCCCACGCUUGCCACAAAUCUGACAGAGGGGUCUAUCAUCUGAGCUACAUGUGCUUGAGGAAUCACUGUAGUUUGAAAUCUGCUAAUGGAAGCCACGACCUCUUGUAGAGAAAGAUCCUCUGCCUCUGGAACCUCCAAAGCGUCUGUUACCUUGACCUCUUCCUCUAUUAGAGUAGUAAAGACUAGAUGAGGGCUUACAUUGGGUUCUGCAGAGUAAGCUUGCAGCCUAUCAUCAUAGCUAGUAAUCCUUGGAAUGACAUCCGUAAGUGUUUGUUAAGAAAUAUCUAUAGAUCCUUCAAUACUUGUUUUGAUGGGUUCAUAUUCCUUACCUAUACCAUGUAAAGCCGCAAAAAUUUUCAUCUUUUCAGGCACAACACUACCAACGGAAGCUAACUGGUCACAUACGUUCUUAAGGUCCUUAAGAUAGUCUUGCAUAGAUCACAUACGUUCUUAAGGUCCUUAAGAUAGUCUUGCAUAGAUCUAUCUUUCUUUUCUAGAGUUUGGAGACGUCGUUGCAACUCAAAGAGACGAGAGGAUGAAGCUCUAUUAAAGUGAUUUGCAAUAGUUGUCCAUACCUCAUGAGAAGUAGAGCAGUUAACAACAACACUGAGGAUGUCUUCAGCAAAGGAUCCAAGCAGCCAUGACUUAACAACUCUAUCCGUCUUGAACCAUGUCGAAUAUUCUGGGUUUACUGCCAGAGAAGUUGAUCCAUUGAUUCCAGGAACAUCGAUGGUGGAGCUUGGAGCUGUGAUGGUGCCAUUGACAAACCCUAGUAACCCUUGUCCAUCCAAGAAUGACUCGAACUGAGAUUUCCAAAGAAUGUAGUUCUUCUCAGUGAGUCACAGUAACACAGUUUUAAAUUUUUAGAAGAGGAACAGAAUAGAGCUCCAUGGAUCUACAGCCUGGAUGCUCUGAUACCAUAAAGGGAGUUUGAGAUAUGAGAAAAGAUGAACUUUUAAUCUUUCAUUUCGAUAACUGUUAGGGUUUUACAAUGGUGAUAAAUGUGUAUUUAUACACAAAGAUAAAAGCUUGAAAACCCUAGAAGACCAGGACAGGUGUCUUCAUCCUAUUGCAUCCAAUGAAUCAAGGGCAGAGAAUUGAUUACUCAGCUUGAUCACCUCCGUACCAGCUUUCGUCAUUUCUGCAACUCUGUUCUUGUUUUGCUUGUCGUUAUUUGGAUUUGAAGGAGACAACCGUUGACGCUUGGACGACGUCGUUUGUGCACAGGUGGGCUCUAUGGGCUCUUCUUUAGUUUCACGGCCCAUUAUUAAAAAAGUCCACCUCAAAAGUGGGAGCCUGGAGGGCUCGUUUCUGAAGAGCAACGACCGCAUCAACAAAAUCUUUUUUAGUUGGAAUCGCACUCAUCUUCUUGAAAGUCGUCAUCUUGUUCACCAUCUAUCUGCUUUAUCCCCAUCACCAAAUAUAUAUAUAUAUCAAUUACUCUUCUGAUUGUUUUGGACAGAGACAAAAAAACUCCCACUACGCGAUAAGAAAUUUCAACCCGACACCCAAGACCUAACUGGAGUUUCUACAAACGUGUUCAUCAGAUCUGAAAGAAUCUUAUGAAAAUAGACUAAGACUAAGGACAGAGAAACUUACCACAGAUCCAAAGGAGAGUUUCGCCUGAGAGAAAUUUUAUGUAUAGCACGAUGGAGGAGGCGCAACGACCCACUACUCUAGGCCAACCUUUUAUAUCGCACAGACUAAACUAGGGUUCGCCACCACAACGACAACAUGUUUCCAUUAAUUUUCGUAAAGAAAAUUUUAUAUGCGUAUAACUUUCUUUCUUUUUUGUAGGCCUUUUCCAUUAAGAAGAGAUCACAAUUGGUGAAGUUUACAAAAUAAGCCGAAAACGAUGCCACGUUUUAUUGCUACCGGUUCACUUAUUCCACCGGUUAACUCCGGCUAUCUUAUUUUAAUAUCGGUUAUUCCAAUUUCCGGUUUAAAAUCCCUAAUUGUGUGUAAACCGGUUUGGUAUGCCUAAACGGUUUCCACUUCACGUUAUAUGUAAUGGCCACCGCUAAACAUCAACAUCAAUAUCAAUGAAGAUUUGAUUCUCUUUUUCACCUUUCUCUCUCUAUGACUGCGUAACAACCUCCUGAUCAUUCCUCCAUUGGUCGAUCUUCGAAGGUCAUGUUCUUCACAUACUCGCUUCCAGGUCUUUGAUUUCUUCUCUGAAACCGGAUUCACACUGAGAUAUGUAGCCCCAACAUUGUCGUAGUAAAUAACAGGAGCUUUGGGAAGCUGAAUAUGUAGUUCUGUUAACAAGUUGCAGACCCAUCUCAAUUCUGCAGCGGCAUUUGCUAUUGCUCGAUACUCAGCUUCCGCAGGGGAUAACGUUGGAGAAUUAAGGAAAGAGCUGGCUAUGAUUCAACAGAGGUUUCAGUUGAGUCUGCCUCAAGAAAGCUAUUUUUUUUACAUAUACAAACAGAAUGUAAUGGAUGAUGACCGGUCAUUCCGGUAGCACCGUGUUGAUCACGGCGACACAAUUGAGAUUUUCAGCGGAAGUGUUUCCGGUGGCUCUUAAUACCCUCAGAUUCUUUCAAUUCUUUAGCUAAUUGUUUAAGAUCAAAUGUCUUCAGUAAGAUCUCAAAUCUUUGCCAGGUACAAGCAUAAAGAGUUGACAAAAGGGAAGCAUAGGAUGCUGUGUGAUCACAUGUGAAGGAACGAGAUCUAAAAGAGGAAAUGGCCGUUUGGUGUAAGAGAGUCAAGCUUACUCUAUUGGGUAAAUGUUGGGAAGCUCUCCAUCAUGUCACUUUCUCUUAUGGCCGUUAACCUUUAUCUCUCUUUCUCUAGUAUCAACACUUAACCUAGAAUCCCUUAUUAUGUAACCGAGAAUAUCAAAUGAAAAACAAUGAGUUCUUGCAAAAUAUUAUCUCUAUUCUCUCUAGCAACAUGAUUUACUUUUUUAACAAAAAAAAAAAAAAAAAAAAAAAAACAUGAUUUACUUUUAAUCUCACUUCCGCUCAAACACUCUCUUAAUCUCUACUAAACUCAACAUGACCUACGGCCUGUGGCAACCGAAAACAGAAAUUUCGGUCCAGUUAUAAAGGUGGAAGCGAAGAGAACCGACAAUGGAUAUUCACUUGAUGAGUUAUUUGCGCCGGCGACGGUUGGGAGUGAAGGGAGUUUGAGAUAUGAGAAAAGAUGAACUUUUAAUCUUUCAUUUCGACAACUGUUAGGGUUUUAGAAUAUAAUAUGGAAAACUACCCUAAAAACUUGGAGAUUGCGUAAAUUAAUUUGUAAAGUCAAUAUUCAGAAAUUUAUAAGAAACUUAAUCGCUGAUGCUAAUAUUUGAAAUUAAUAAUCCAUAAAAACAUAGAUUACAUAAAUUAAUUAAAUAAGAAUAUUGGUGUGAAUCAAUAUUUUCUCAUUUUCAAAUAUUUGUAUUAAAAAUUUUAAAAAUGGGUAUUUACAUUUUAUUUUAAUGUUUUUGGAAAAGAAAAUAAUCGAAUUUAGAAGAAUGUAUAUUCCAAAAGCUUGUAACAAUUUGAUUUGAAAGAGAUAAAUUUAUAUGGCUCUAAAAAUAUAAUUUGGAGAUAUAGUAACUAUUAUAAUACGUUUUAUUCUAUAAUUCAAAUUUAGUUUAGUGAUAUAUUUUUAAUAUAAUAAAAACUACCCGUUUAAAACAAAAUAUUUCAAACUUUUAUAUCAUUUAAAUUCUGAUUAAAAUUUAAAAUAUUUUAAUCUAUACUGUAAAUAUUUUCUAGAUAUUUACAAAUCUAAAAUCCAAAAAUUAUUUGUUGAAUAUGCUAUAUUUUAAAGGAUGGUAGUAGUUAGUUUAGAUAAUAUAUGACAAAUAUGAUAAAAUUUUAUUAUAUUUGGAAAAUCAAAUUUUUAAAUCUUUUUUUCAUGUGUACUAAUCAGAAUUAAUUAGCAUAGUUUUGUUAAGAAAUUUUUUUAAAAUUAAACUAAAUGAUAAUUUAAUAUUUAAUUAGAUUGAAAUAUCUAAUAAUAUAUUAUGAAAAUAAAUAAGUUUAAAUAUAUCCAGUUUCAAAUUAAAUAGCUUGAUUUGUUAUGGAAUCUUCCUUAAAUGAUUUCCAAAAUAUAGGGUAGUUAUUGAUUUAAUUUUGAUAUUUUUUUUAAUCCAAGAUCCGCGUGUUUAUCCGACUAUACCAACAGGUCAACCCAAGAUCCGCUGGCUUUUUAUGAUUAAAUUAUCUCAAUUGUCCUUUUUUGACCCUUUUUUUUUCUUUCUUCAAAUUUAAAAAAUCCAAUAGCAUACUAUGUAAUAUUUCUACAACUUAAAUGUCUUUUAUUAUUUAGUGAUUCCCAAUUAAUAGUAUAGAUAUCGUGAGGGUGGAAAAAAUUUAUUCUUUAAACCAUAAUAUCCAAAUUAAAUAUAAUAUCAUUUGUUACCAUCUUAUUAAUAUCAUAUGAUCAAUAUACAAUAUAUACAUUAUAUAUAUAUAUAUAUAUAUAUAUGUUCAUAUUUAAAAGGCGUAAUAUAUAUUAAACAUAUUUUAGAAUGAAAACAUAUAAAAUAUUGAUAUAAUCAAUAUCAAAUUUCAAUUUCUAUAUAUAAGAGAUAAAUUGUUAAAAAUGCCCCUUUUUCAAUACCCCUUUUCAAAAAUGCCCCCUUUGAGAGUCCAUUUUUAAGUUUGCCCUCUUUUAAUUUUUAAUGACAAUUUUACCCUUAUUUGAAACAAAAUUAGGUCCACAAAAUACAAAAUAUUUUUGGCGGAAAAAGUGAUCCGCAAUUUUCCCGCCAAAACACUUGUAAAAACUUGUAAAACCUUUAAAAUACCUUGUAAAAUUUUCCGUAAAAAUUAUUCCCGCCAAAAAAAUUUACCGCCACAAGUGAUUCCGCAAUUUUUUUGGCGGGAAAAGUUUUAGCGGAAAAAAUUUACAAUGUAUUUUAAAGGUUUUACAGAGUAUUUACAAGUGUUUUGUAAGGUUUUACAAUGUAUUUUAAAAGAUUUUACAAGGUACUUAUAAGGUUUUAUAAGGUAUUUAUAACUUGUAAAACCUUAUAAAAAACUUGUAAAACCUUAUAAAAUAGCUUGUAAAAUCUUAUAAUAUCUUAUAAAUACCUUAUAAAUACGUUGUAAAACCUUAUAAAAUACAUUGUAAAACCUUAUAAAUACCCUGUAAAAAACCUUUAAAAUACCUUGUAAAAUUUUCCCGCCAAAAAUUUAACGUCAAAAAAAUUGCGGAAUCACUUUUCCCACAAAAAAAAAUUUUUGGCGGGAAAAUUUUUUACGGGAAAAUUUUACAAGGUAUUUUAAAGGUUUUACAAGUUUUUACAAAAUCAAAUUUGUAAUUUUGAUGUGUGCACAUUCUCAUGUUUUCCUUAUAUAUUUGUGAUAUCUUUUAUUAAAAGAAUGGUAAUUUAGUCAUUUUGUACAUAAAAAUGGGUAUUUUUAAAAAUAGACAGGCAAAUGGGGCAUUUUUGAAAAGGGGUAUUGAAAAAGGGGCAUUUUUGUGAGUGUCCCAAAAUAAUAUCUCAGAAACACAGUUUUCCAACUUUUUCUACAUUUUUUUUUUGUUUGUUUUUAUCAUUUGAAAAUAAAAAGAAAAAUCAAACUAUAUUAUGCUAAAUAAUUAAAAACUAAUUUGAAAUAUAAGAAAUGUAUCUCCUAAACACAAGCUUUGGCCCAUUGGUUGAUCAAAGGUUGAUUAAUGCUUCUACACUAAGAGGUCUGGGGUUCGAGUCCCAGAUAUUGCGAUUUAUUAACAAAUUUGCAGAUUAAUGGAGGCAAGUGUGCAGGAGAUCUCCAGCGAUGUACAAUUAUAGCCGUGCGCCAGGAUUCUACGCAGAGAAGGAAGUGUCGCUAGGUCGUGGAUCAUUGAAGGUAUUCAUCAAGAUCAUGAAGAAGGAAGUGUAGUCUGUCGUGGAUCUACUAAGGGUCGGCAGAAAUUGUCAGUUGUAGAAUCGUCUAUGUAACAGUUCUCAUAAUUUGCAAUUAAUAAUAAAUCUAGACGGCAAAAAAAAAA
rnacentral:lncRNA from 1 species